rnacentral:rRNA from 1 species
UACGAGGGGAGCAGGCGUUGUUCGGAUUUACUGGGCGUAAAGGGCGCGUAGGCGGCGUGACAAGUCACUUGUGAAAUCUCCGGGCUUAACUCGGAACGGUCAAGUGAUACUGUCGUGCUAGAGUACAGAAGGGGCGACUGGAAUUCUCGGUGUAGCGGUGAAAUGCGUAGAUAUCGAGAGGAACACCUGCGGCGAAGGCGGGUUGCUGGGCUGAUACUGACGCUGAGGCGCGAAAGCCAGGGGAGCGAACGGG